rnacentral:lncRNA from 1 species
GGUUUUAAAGGUUUAAAAAAAAAGGAAAACCCAAAUGGGGGAGGAGCCAGGCCAGGCCAGCCGGCCCAAGGCCCAGCCUCCCCUCCCGUGACCUAGCCCGUUCUCCCCCUGCGUCUCGUCCCCCUCCUCGCGCCGUCAUCGUCCCCUUCCUCCCAGUGCCUCGCUCGCGCAGGCCCGAUCCCCAGCGCCCCCUCCUGCCGCCGCCUCCUCCUCCCGUCGUACUCCGCGCCGCCGGCCGGCUCGCCCCUGUGGCCGUCCCCUGCGCCCGCGCGAUCGCCGGUCCCUCCGCCCGAGGUAGCCCGCCGGAGGUUCCCUGCCGAGCCGAGCUCGCCACCUAGUCCCCCCUCGCUCGAGCCGUGGGGCAGCUCCCCUGCCCGAGUUGCACCGCCCCGUCGUGCUCGCCUCCUCCAUCCCCGAGCUCGCCGCAGCCGCCGGUGGCCGCCCGUUCCCCUCGAGCCGCUGCCGCCUCCCUGCCGUUGCUGUUGCCGGCGUGCUGCUGUGCUGCUGGCCGCUGCUGCUUGCCCGCUGCGCUGCUGCUUGCCGCUUGGUGCUGUUGCUGUUGCUGCUUGCUGUUAAUGCUUGCUGUCGCUGAUGCUGUUGCGUUGCUGAUGUAGUUGCUGCUUUGCCUGUUUUGCAAGCUGCUGCUGCUUGCUGUUGAUGCCAUGCUGCUUAGCUGCUAGUCGCUGGUGAUGUCGCUGCUUUGCUCAUGCUGGUGCCCUGUUGUUGUUACUGGCUGUAGCUACCCGUUAGUUGUUGUUGCUUGCCAGCAAUGCCUUGCCGUGGCCGAUUGCUGUUGCUGCUAGUGUGCUUGCAUGCCGUGCCUAAUGAUGAUUGCUAGCUAGCUUGCUGCUGAUGCUAGUCGAAGCCUGCUGGUGCUAGAUGUUGCCGCCUUUCGUUGUGCCGCCGAUGCACGUUUGAUGUUGCUGUUGCAUCGCUUGCCGUCGCCGCGUGCACCAACCCCUCCUUCUUGGAACCGACAAGACCCGAGUACCACGACGCCCUCGACGACCCCGGAAACGAGUUCGACUUCCCCGAACAUCAACGGAGACGUGAUCAACUACCGACACCGAAGACCGGGAACCACGACGCCGAGCGAACGACUACCGUCGACGAGACCGUGUUCCACUACUUCAACUACCGGCGUGUGUACGACUACUUCCACGACGACCACGACGAUCGUUGAUCUCCUUCAACGACCCGAUCCGCUCCUAUAUGCACGCGUCGAAGGUAUACCGAUGGGACAUGUCGUGUACCGUGUGCUAGUGAUGUACGAAUGUAUGAGUUGUUUGAGUUGAAUUCGUGUAUGCACCGUUGUUUGACCGUUGCACGUUGUCUUCCUUUUCGUCGUGCCCUCGACACAUGGGAACCCGGUAAUCGGGAUCACCCCAUCUUUAUUUAGCGUUCCCGCACUCGCUUCCUAUACGUUGGCACGAUAUCUCGACGAGUAUCGGGAUAGGAACGUUGCCGUGGCUUCGUUUCCAUGUUGCCGACAUAGUUUCCCUCUCGCUCGCCGUGGCGACACCUUGCUUCUUUCCCUUCUUGUCGUGGUGUGAUGUCUUGCAUGCAUGACGCAUUCAUGGCAUAUAUAUUCUUGUGUUGCAUGCCUCUCGUGCCGUAGCUCCAUUCUAUGUUCCGCAAGUUAUACCGACUAGGAUGCCAUGUAGGAUCAUCGCUUCACCCCUUGCCAUGAUAACUACAAUUUAAUAUUUCCGUGUAAAUAAUCGGGAGUGAAUUAAAUAAUUAAUCGUGGAGUUUCGUCGAUAUGCAACCCGUUGCAUAUCGAGCUUCACUUAAUGUGUAGUGUUUGCGUGAGGUGAAUUGCCAUGCCAUCCCUUGCAUUUUAACCUGUUCAUGCAUCAUAUUAGGGUAUGCAUCAUGUCUUGCUUUGUGGUGGUGAAUACUUGUGUUGAUGUUUGUUUCCGGUUUGCCCAUCUCGAUAGAGUUCCGCAAGCGUGUCGGAAUGUGAGGACCCGUUCGACUACGUUGGUUUGCCGACUUCUCCGAGUUGUUCUUCUUCCAAGCGGGAUCUCAGGCAAGAUGAUCAUUUCCCCAGAUACCAUUACUAUCAUUGUCAUGCUAGUUAUUUCGAUGCUAUCGAUUAUGUCUCGUUGCCUACCACUUGUUAAAUAUCAGCCUCUCAACAAUGCCAUGUUAACCUUCAAUCUGUUCGACCUAGCAAACCACUGAUUGGCUAUGUUACUGCUUUCUUAAUCCUGUUGAUAGCGUUGCUAGUUGCAGGUGCAGUUGCUUCCAUGUGAUAACAUGGGUUCCUUGUUAUAUCACCAUAUUUAAAUGCUAUUUAAUUUAAUGCACCUAUAUACUUGGUAAAAGGUGGAAGGCUCGGCCUUUCUAGCCUGGUGUUUUGUUCCACCUUUGCCCCCUUAGUUUCGGCUACCGGUGUUAUGUUCCAUAAACGAGCGCUCCUAACACGAUCGGGGUUGUUAUGGGGACCCCCUUGAUAAUUCGUUUUAGAUUAAAGCUGGUCUGGCAGGGCCCAACUUUGGUACUACAUUUGCCUAAUAACUAAUGAACUGCAUAGGGAGUAAUUAACCCGAGGAAAUUUAAUCAACCCCCGGGCCAGUGCUCCUCAUGAGUGUUGGUCCAAAUUGGCAGACUACGGGGCCACCGUGGGGCAACCCGAGGUUUGGUUCUCCUUGUGUGACCCAUCCGUUGUGUCCUGAGAACGAGGUACGCGACUCCUAUCGGGAUCGUCGACACGUCGGGCGGCCUUGCUGGAUUAGUUUUACCUUUGACGGAAUAUCUUGUGCAUCGGGAUUCCGGUGAUGCUUUGGGUAAUCUCAGAGUUGAGGUUUUCCACUAGGGAAUCCGACGAGAUCGCGAGCUUCGUGAUUGAGGAUUUCUAUGCGGCUUGUGGUAAUUUGUGAUGGACUAGUUGGAGCACCCCUGCAGGGUUAAAUCUUUUCGGAAAGCCGUGCCCGCGGUUAUGUGGCAACGUGGAAACUUUGUUUAGCACUGGUUCUAGAUAACUUGAAGUUAACUUAAUUAAAACUUGCCAACUGUGUGCGUAACCGUGACUGUCUCUUUCGUGAGAUCCUUCUCCGAUCGAGGACACGGUGGGGUUAUGCCUGACGUAGGUAGGUGUUCAGGAUCAUUCAUUUGAUCAUCAGUAGUUACGUCCGCCAGGCGUAGAUCUUCCCCCUCUCAUUUCUUGUACUCGUAAGUUUAGCCACCAAAUAUAUGCUUAGGCGCUGCUGCAACCUCACCACUUAACCAUAUCUCACCCAUUAAGCUUUGCUAGUCUUGAUACCUUUGGAAAUGAGAUUGCUGAGUCCCCUGUGGCUCACAGAUUACUACAACACCAGUUGCAGGUACAUGUAAAGGUUACUCGACGUGAGCGCGUUGAUUGUUCAUUUGGAGUUUCUUCUUCUUCUUCUUCAUCGAUCUAGGAUGGGUUCCAGGCCGGCAGCCUGGGAUAGCAAGGAUGGACGUCGUUCUUCUUUUGUCGUUUGUUUUCGUCCGUAGUCGGACCCUGCUCUUACUCUUGAUGAUUAUGUAAUGUACUGAUGUGACUCUGAUGUAACUUGUGGCGAGUGUAAGCCAACUCUGAAUAUAUAUCUCUUCCUUUCAGUACAUGUAUUUGUAACGAUAUCCAUUCUUGCGACACGACGAGAUGCGCUUCUAUCCCUGACGAGGCCUUCGUGCCAAAUUGAGGACAGGGCCGCAUCUUGGGCGUGACACUAUUCCAUGAAGAAAAUUGACGAGAAUAAAGAGAUGGAAAAUGUUCAAAUUCAUGCACAGCGUGAACCUUUAUAUAUCCAGUUUAUCAGUAAUUGAG